CUUGCAGAUCGGGCACCAGCUCCUUGCCAAUAUCGAGGUGACGAACCAGGCGAGGAGAGAUGCCAUCCAGGCGGAGGAGAGUCACCGGACCGAAGCCGCUCGUCUCAAAGAAAAGGCAGCUGAGGUAGUUGCCCUCCAAGAGGCCCUGGAGAGAGAAAAGCAGGCCCUGGAGAAAGAGAAGCAGACCUCAGAGGAGACGGUGAGGAAGGCAGAGGUCGAGGUUGCAAAUUUGGCGGAAC
rnacentral:lncRNA from 1 species